rnacentral:misc_RNA from 1 species
UGACCUACAAUGAGAGUUUUCAGAAGUUAUAUCAAAUGAGUGAUUCUCAAAUGAGUGAUUCUCAACUUCCAACUCUUGUCAUUUUCUCAGGACCAGACACCCCAAAAGCCCAAAUCACAAACAGCAGCCAAGCGAUCAAUAUAAGAUCAACCGCCAAAAAUAAAAAAUAAUAAAAAAGCAUGGUUAUCGUUGUUUAGGGCAAAAAAGAAACCAGAGAGAAAGAAGAAAAGUUACCUAGGAUCGUUGUUUAGGGCAAAAAGAAACCAGAGAGAAAGAAGAAAAGUUACCUAGGAUCGUUGUUUAGGGC